UCUGUAUUUCAUUUUCAUUGUCUGAUUCAUGCUGUGUGACUCUUCUCUCUACUUCCAAGCUAUCAUCAGUAUGAAUUGAAGAAACAAGAUUGUCCUUUGAACUAAAAUCCUGUUCAUCCUCAUUGUCACUACCAACGACUGGAAUUCCUGCAAGAUCCCCAGAGUUCAAAAAAUAAUCAUCUUCAUCCAGCAAUGAAUUUUCAGAUCCUGUUUGAUUCGGCAUUCCAUAAGACAUGCUGUCAAGGGUAGGAGUUAAGUUGUGGUCUAUAUCUUCAGACAUUUCUGUAUCCAUGAUACCACCACCUUAAAAAGUAAAAUACUGUUUAGACAAACGAUAGUGCUAAAGAUGACCACAUUUAUAAGGUCUGUCUGGUAUUUAACCAAAUAUAUAAUUUCUCUUUUCAAACAAAA
rnacentral:lncRNA from 1 species